UACGGUAGGGUGCGAGCGUUUGUCCGGAAUUACUGGGCGUAAAGAGCUCGUAGGUGGUUUGUCGCGUUGUCCGUGAAAACUCACAACUCAAUUGUGGGCGUGCGGGCGAUACGGGCAGACUGGAGUACUGCAGGGGAGACUGGAAUUCCUGGUGUAGCGGUGGAAUGCGCAGAUAUCAGGAGGAACACCGGUGGCGAAGGCGGGUCUCUGGGCAGUAACUGACGCUGAGGAGCGAAAGCGUGGGGAGCGAACAGG
rnacentral:rRNA from 1 species